AAGGCGAAGCCCCCCUCAAGAUGAGAUUUCCCAAUUUAGUAAGACCCCUUGAAGACGACGAGGUUGAUAGGUUCGGGGUGGAAGCGCAGCAAUGCGUGCAGCUGACGAAUACUAAUCGGUCGAGGGCUUAUCCUAAACAACAC
rnacentral:rRNA from 1 species